rnacentral:rRNA from 1 species
UACGAAGGGGGCUAGCGUUGUUCGGAAUUACUGGGCGUAAAGCGCACGUAGGCGGAUUGCUAAGUCAGGGGUGAAAUCCCGGGGCUCAACCUCGGAACUGCCUUUGAUACUGACAAUCUCGAGUCCGGAAGAGGUGGGUGGAAUUCCUAGUGUAGAGGUGAAAUUCGUAGAUAUUAGGAAGAACACCAGUGGCGAAGGCGGCUCACUGGUCCGGUACUGACGCUGAGGUGCGAAAGCGUGGGGAGCAAACAGG